UGUUGCGUUACAAUAGCUAAGCCGCCAACCGCCAGCGCAAUUUGGUAGCAAAACAACCCGGCUGCGAAACCCCCUCCCAACACCAACCCAUUGAGAAAGUUGCACUAGUGGCCGAUAGUGCUGGCAGUUACCUGUGUUGCACCGUUAACGAAUCCUAGGACCUCAAGGGCCCCGGCAAGGGCCGAAGAGCCACACGAGGCCCGCUGCGACAAAACCAGGGACCGCUGCAUUGUGGCAACCCCCGGGAUUGCCCUGUGUGGGUGGGGGAUACGACGAGGCACAGACGAUUGAUGAGAAUAAGAACAUAGACGGGUACUCCAAGAUUAGACCAAUAAUACAGGACGAUCAGUAAGAUACUGACCCGUUGGUGGGUGAGGGGAAACUAGAGGACACUGUCCCAGCAGCGGGACACACCUCAUGGUGAUAGCCAGAACAGCGGCAGUUAGAGAAGCAAUGCGCCUGUGGGACCCAAGUAGAAGCUUUUGGAGUCCCCUGCCGUAUUGUGGUCCGGCACAUGCAUGCAUGCGCCCUGCUUCCACGCACCACGGCAGUUCCUUCGCAAUAACUUGCGUAUCGAUACACUCAUACUUCGCUUCGAGAAGUCAAAGCUGCACCAGAUCCCUAAAAGGGGUUAGUAGUGGAGGGGUUUUGCGGCGCCUAAUAGCAUUCUGUAGUAUCCAACCUUGAUGACCUUGGACUCUUGGUUGCAUGAAAAUUUGGCAAACUUGGCAACUGCAAUCAACAUCCAGUGCUUCCGACAGGUACCUUCUAUAAACAGGACAAAAGGCAGCACGCGGAAACACCAUAGUUCAGCUACAGCGAGCCGUGGGCCAGCUGCAGUAGCUGCAAUGCCCAGGAUUUGCAGAACUAACAUGUAACAUGAUCAAGAACCGGUAAUAACGUCAGAGCUGGCGUUGUCGCGGAGAACCAACGCAGGAGGAAUUCUUACAGUUUCGGCCAAACGCCAUGCAUUCUGCCAGGCGAAUAUACAUUUGUGUUAAAAUGUGAUAUUUGGAUGUUGCAUCGAAAGCGAGGCGUCGGAGUUGCUCACGGAGUUGAUUCUGUUGGAGACCUUACCCUCAGGCAGGACACUCAACACCCUUCCAGGCCACAAGUAAAAAUUUGGUACAAACUGACGCAGCUCUUCUG
rnacentral:lncRNA from 1 species